GCAAGCGUUGUCCGGAUUUACUGGGCGUAAAGGAUGCGUAGGUGGUUAUUUAAGUGGGAUGUGAAAUACCCGAGCUCAACUUGGGUGCUGCAUUCCAAACUGGAUAUCUAGAGUGCAGGAGAGGUAAGUGGAAUUCCUAGUGUAGCGGUGAAAUGCGUAGAGAUUAGGAAGGACACCAGUGGCGAAGGCGACUUACUGGACUGUAACUGACACUGAGGCAUGAAAGCGUGGGGAGCAAACAGG
rnacentral:rRNA from 1 species